UGCGUAGGCGGAUAGAUUAGUCAGAGGUGAAAUCCUGCAGCUUAACUGUAGAAUUGCCUUUGAUACUGUUUAUCUUGAAUUAGGUUGAGGUCAGCGGAAUGUGGCAUGUAGCGGUGAAAUGCAUAGAUAUGCCAUAGAACACCAAUUGCGAAGGCAGCUGGCUAGGCUUUAAUUGACGCUGAGGCACGAAAGCGUGGGGAGCGAACAGGAUUAGAUACCCUGGUAGUCC
rnacentral:rRNA from 1 species